rnacentral:antisense_RNA from 1 species
CUUGAUCGAACCCAGCCAGAGCGGCGCGUCCCGGUCCUGGCCGUAGGCGGCGAGCACCGCCUGUGCCUC